GGUAAAGGCUCACCAAGACCGUGAUGCAUAGCCGACCUGAGAGGGUAAUCGGCCACACUGGGACUGAGACACGGCCCAGACUCCUACGGGAGGCAGCAGUAGGGAAUCUUCCACAAUGGACGAAAGUCUGAUGGAGCAACGCCGCGUGAGUGAAGAAGGUUUUCGGAUCGUAAAACUCUGUUGUUGGAGAAGAAUGUAUCUGAUAGUAACUGAUCAGGUAGUGACGGUAUCCAACCAGAAAGCCACGGCUAACUACGUGCCAGCAGCCGCGGUAAUACGUAGGUGGCAAGCGUUGUCCGGAUUUAUUGGGCGUAAAGCGAGCGCAGGCGGUUUCUUAAGUCUGAUGUGAAAGCCUUCGGCUCAACCGAAGAAGUGCAUCGGAAACUGGGAAACUUGAGUGCAGAAGAGGACAGUGGAACUCCAUGUGUAGCGGUGAAAUGCGUAGAUAUAUGGAAGAACACCAGUGGCGAAGGCGGAUGUCUGGUCUGUAACUGACGCUGAGGCUCGAAAGCAUGGGUAGCAAACAGGAUUAGAUACCCUGGUAGUCCAUGCCGUAAACGAUGAGUGCUAGGUGUUGGAGGGUUUCCGCCCUUCAGUGCCGCAGCUAACGCAUUAAGCACUCCGCCUGGGGAGUACGACCGCAAGGUUGAAACUCAAAGGAAUUGACGGGGGCCCGCACAAGCGGUGGAGCAUGUGGUUUAAUUCGAAGCAACGCGAAGAACCUUACCAGGUCUUGACAUCCUUUGACCACUCUAGAGAUAGAGCUUUCCCUUCGGGGACAAAGUGACAGGUGGUGCAUGGUUGUCGUCAGCUCGUGUCGUGAGAUGUUGGGUUAAGUCCCGCAACGAGCGCAACCCUUAUUACUAGUUGCCAGCA
rnacentral:rRNA from 1 species